CGAGUUUAAUGUUGUUCUUAAACAUCUUAUUUUCUUCUGAAUCUUAAAAGGAUUUUGAAUAUGGAGCAACCAACGUUAAGACUGAUAAAAUAUACCAAAAAUAUGUAUUUGAAAAUAUGUACGCAACAAUUUCAACUACAACCUCUUUAAUGUUGGCCUGUCAAGUUGAAGUAACAAUUCGACAAAAUCUUACGAAAUUCAACCACUAAGACUAACGGCCGAAAAAGUUCGAAAUUGCAAUAAAUGAGUUGUACAAAACAGUCGAUCCGAGAGGACAAAAUGUAAUGGCAUCUAUUAUCUUGGGUUAUUUGAAAUGCAUCAAGAACAAAACUAAGAAAAUACCCCAUACUUUGCCUCUAAAAGUGUUUUACAACAAAUGGAAAAGAAUACAAGAAGAAUGAGACUAAGGGCUAAGGAAUUCUUGAAAGUCUAAAAGUACUAUAAGAAUAAAAGCUUUUUUCUGAAUUAAAAAAAAGUGGCUGAAGAGAUUUGAAGGAGGUAUUUAUUACCCAGAUAGGUAAAUACAUAAAACUCAGAGCACAAGCGCAGAACAAAGGGAAUUAUCAGAAACUGCAUUCAUAUCAUCGGUUUUCUCCGAAUUCCGAAAAAAAUUCCAGAAUCCGUUUGCAUUUGAUUUGUCAACGUAAUUUCGAAACAAAAUUAUUACAAAUAUUUUAGACAAAUAUGUACGUACUUGCAUAUUUUUGAUAACGUCAUUUGCGUCAAAAAAUCCAAUUGUAUGAUUUUUUUUGACUAAUUUCAAGUCAAGUGUUCGAAAACGCAAUAUUACAAAAGCAUGUUUUUUUGAUAACAUAGUUCGGCAGAGUCCGAAAGCACCUAUUAUUGGCAUUACAAUGGCACUUAGAAUGCAUCUCAGAAGAAAAGUUUAGUUCUCGAUUUGAAAUCAGAAUCCACUCAAAAACAUACAUACAUUAAUACUAAAAAGUCUAACCAAUUUAUUUGAUUAUUCACCAAACAUAAAAUUCCAGAAUUUAGUGGAAGCGAUUUGAACUGUUUCAUUGGAUUUCAAAAUAAGUGAAUCCCUAAGUAAAACCAAUCGAAAACCACAUUACAUUACGGCCGUACAAGCUGUGGAAUAGUUUUCUACAUUGAAUUCCUUAGGUAUUUUUCUCUAAUUUUUAGUAUGAAUUUCUGCAGUCAUAUUUUCUGGUUUAAAAAAAAAAGGCCAAA